rnacentral:rRNA from 1 species
UCCGUAGGUGAACCUGCGGAAGGAUCAUUAGUGAAUAUUAGCGCAUCUCUUCGGAGAGCGUGACCUCCACUUUCUAACUCUGUGCAUUUAUUUGGCGGGAAACUAUGUAGAUCAGUAGUAAUACUCGAACUACAUGUUUCCUGCGGCUCAUUUUAUAACACUAGUUAAAGUAUGUAACGAAAUAUCGAAACAAAAAAAAACUUUCAACAACGGAUCUCUUGGCUUGCUCAUCGAUGAAGAACGCAGCGAAAUGUGAUAAGUAAUGUGAAUUGCAGAAUUCAGUGAAUCAUCGAAUCUUUGAACGCACCUUGCGCUCCGUGGUAUUCCGCGGAGCAUGUCUGUUUGAGUGUCAUGAACUCUUCAACCCACCAGUUUCUUGUAGACUGAUUGGUGUUUGGAUUUUGAGCGUUGCUCGUCUUCGGAUGCAGCUCGUUCGUAAUACAUUAGCAUCUCUAAUUCGAACUCGGAUUGACUCAGUGUAAUAGACUAUUCGCUGAGGACACGCUCUCGUAGUGUGGCCGAAUGAGAUCUCAGUAGAAGCUUCCAACUACUUUAGUCAACUUUAGAUUAGACCUCAGAUCAGGCAGGAUUACCCGCUGAACUUAAGCAUAUCAAUAAGCGGAGGA